UAGAAAUCCUAAUCGCGGAGGAGGAAGAAGCAGAAGAAGGACGAUUCUUCGCAUGCUAUCUGUUGAGCUCUCGCAGCCCCCGCUACAAAUGCCACACCUAUAUUGGAUUCACAGUGAACCCACGGUCGUAUAAGACAGCACAAUGCUGAAAUAGCGCAAGAUGCUUGGAGAACGAAGCGCUUCGUCCAUGUGAGAUGGUGUUGUGCAUCUGUGGUUUCCCAACUAACGUUUCUGCUCUCCAGUUUGAAUGGGCCUGGCAGCACCCACCUGUAUUGGAGGCGGUUAGGCAGGCUGCUGCCAGCUUUAAAUCACUGGGAGGGCUUGUCAGUAAGAUCAAACUUGCAUACACCACGCUCACUCUCCCUCUUUGGCAGAGCUUGAACAUCACUGUAAACUUCUUUUCAACCCAGUACACCAAACAUUCUGCUGGUUGUCCACGCCUUCCAGAACAGAUGAAGGUCAAAGUCCCCUCCAUGGAUGAGCUUCCUUCCUGUACUAAACUAUCUGUGAUGACCUUUUGGAAAAUGAAGAUGAGUGGUGUCAUGAAAGGGAAUGUGAUGAAGAUAUGAAUUCCAGUACACUAGCCGAAGAAACAUUAUUGGACUUCAGGACUCAUAAUUCAGCAGAUGAUCAGCAGAGUGAUAGUGGCAACAGAAUGAAUGAAGUAUAUGGAUGCAGUAAAGAAGUAGGAGAAGAUGAGUGGUAUAAUGGAAAAGAAUGUGAUGAAGCUUUGAAUGAUGGUACAUUACAGGAAGAAACAUUAUUAGAUCUUAUAGUUCAAAGUUCAGCAGAUGAUCAGCAGAAUGAUACUGGCAAGAUAAUUAAUGAAGCAUAUGGAUGCAGUCAAGUAGUAGGAGAGGAUUGUACAGAGCAAUUUGGUUUUAUGGCAUCGCCAGUGAGAACGCCAUCUUCAAAUGUCACUACCUCAUUUGACACUGAAGUAACUAAAGAUAUAGGUUUGUGUGGAUCUUCUGAUGACAUGAGUGCUGAUUUGGGCCGACUUGCAAGGGAAUAAUCGACAGCUAUAGUUGCAGACGAUGAUCAGUCUCCCAGCAGAAGCUAUCACCAGCCUUGUGGAGCUGAGGUAAUAGAUUUGACAACCCCAGCUCCCCUAUGCAGAAGCCAUUUAAUUGGCAAGAAGAGUAGAGUUGCUCCUGUUUAUCCUCAGAUUAUUGACUUGACUGGUUCUCGCAAUUUCAUCCAACUUUAGAAUAGAAUGUUGUACAUGUCUACUACAAACAAUCAAACAAGUGUACAUA